rnacentral:rRNA from 1 species
UCGAACGCGAAAGUCCCGCAAGGGAUGAGUAGAGUGGCAAACGGGUGAGUAACACGUGGGUGACCUGCCUUCGAGCGGGGGAUAACGUCCCGAAAGGGACGCUAAUACCGCAUGACAUCCUGCCUUUGAAGAGGCGGAGAUCAAAGCUGGGGAUCGCAAGACCUGGCACUUGAAGAGGGGCCCGCGUCUGAUUAGCUAGUUGGUGGGGUAACGGCUCACCAAGGCAACGAUCAGUAUCCGGCCUGAGAGGGCGGACGGACACACUGGGACUGAGACACGGCCCAGACUCCUACGGGAGGCAGCAGUGGGGAAUUGUUCGCAAUGGGCGCAAGCCUGACGACGCAACGCCGCGUGGAGGAUGAAGACCUUCGGGUCGUAAACUCCCUUCGAUCGAGACGAAUAGCUUCCGGGUGAACAGUCCGGGAGUUUGACGGUACCGAGAGAAGAAGCCCCGGCUAACUCCGUGCCAGCAGCCGCGGUAAUACGGGGGGGGCAAGCGUUGUUCGGAAUUACUGGGCGUAAAGGGCUCGUAGGCGGCCAACUAAGUCAGACGUGAAAUCCCUCGGCUUAACCGGGGAACUGCAUCUGAUACUGGAUGGCUUGAGAUUGGGAGAGGGAUGCGGAAUUCCAGGUGUAGCGGUGAAAUGCGUAGAUAUCUGGAGGAACACCGGUGGCGA